ACAAAAACUGAUACAAUAAAAUUUAUAUGGAAGAAGAUGAUGCUUGAGAAGUUUUGAUUUUGUUGUUUUACAAAGUUUGAAAGCGAGAAAAAUAGUGAUAGUGGUAAGAAAUUUAUGUGUGAUUUUCCUAUUACAUUAACUUGAAUUUGGAUUUGAAAGAAACCAACACUGUAUUGGGACAAAAAAUCUGCAAAUUCUAAGUUUAGAAAGUGUGUAGUUGGAAAUUCUUUUUAUCUUUGUAGAUAUAAAUGAUCUUUUACUUCCAUUUAUGUGGUUCUGAUGAAUUUAUGAUGUAUGUAUGAAGAUUUCUUGUAUUUAUUAUGAUUCAUGAGUGUAGAUAUAAAGAAGAAGAAUGGAAAUCUGAACUAGAUAAAGGAAGUUUUGGUCGGUGUGUAUGUAUUAAAGAAAACAAGAAAUACACAGAUUUGGCAGGUAUAUUAUGUGAGGUUUUCAGUUUGAAUUCCACUGAAUGCAAUCCUAUAAUUAGUUACGGGAUGCCGGAAAAUAUGUCUAUGAUGAUAGAAAGUAAUCGCCCUCAUGUCUACAUUGACAAUCAAAUCAGCUUGGAUACAUUUUUUUUGAUUCGUAAUGCGGAUCCUAGUGUAAACUUGUUUGUAUCUUUUUGUACUACUGACAAUGGAUGAGUGAAUAGUUUGGCUACAAAGGGAGGCCAUGAUGCUGUAGCUGGGUUAAGGAGUGAAAAUACACCAAAAACCAUGGUAGAGGCUUCAAAUGUAGAUGCAACUAGUGAGGACGUUGAUGAAUAAGAAGACGUAGAGAAGGAUAAAACAGAUGAAGGUGAAGAGGAUGAGGAUAAGUAAAGGAUGGGGAUCAUAAGUUUGACAAAAAAUUUAAUGUACAAUGAACCCCAAAAACAUUUUAAAAAUAAACUUUACCCUUACGUGUUAUAAACAAAAAAUGUCAUGCUGACGUGUUGCGCUGAAAAAGUUUCAUAGCCCAAUUAAUUAUUUGUCCUUCACUUAUUAGAAUAUUUACAUCAAUUUGCCAUUAGUAUAAAUACCACAUAUUUUCAUUCAACUAAUU
rnacentral:sRNA from 1 species